rnacentral:rRNA from 1 species
ACUAAGCGGAGGAAAAGAAACUAACAAGGAUUCCCUUAGUAACGGCGAGUGAACAGGGAUUAGCCCAGCACCGAAGCCUGUGGCCAUUUGGUUACUAGGCAAUGUGGUGUUCAGGUCGUUCCGCAGAGACGCAGCCCCACCCUAAGUCCAGCACUGAGUACGGUAAUACAGACUUGGCCCAAAGAGGGUGAAAGGCCCGUGAGGGUGGGGGUUCAGUCAUGACUGUGUAUCUCUGGAUAGACCUUGGAGUCGGGUUGUUUGUGAAUGCAGCCCAAAGUGGGUGGUAAACUCCAUCCAAGGCUAAAUACUAGCACGAGUCCGAUAGCGAACAAGUACCGUGAGGGAAAGUUGAAAAGUACUUUGAAGAGAGAGUAAACAGUGCGUGAAACCGCUCAGAGGUAAACGGGUGGAGUUGAACUGCAAGCCCAGAGAAUUCAGCUGGUGAGCGUGGUUUGAGCUUGGUCAAAUUGGUUGUACACUGGGGUCUGUGUAGCAGCAGGUCUCUGCCUUCGGGUGGGGAUGCGCGGAGCACUUAACAUGUGUUGCGCGCUCCAGAUGUAUUCGAGCCUGUUUGCCAGUGCAUUUUCUCUGGGUAUUCACCAUGACCGGCACUGCUGUCUGGCUGUUGUGGUUAAACCGGUCUUGCAUCGUCCUUGUGGCUUUGCUUGGUCGGGAUGGCAGGUAGCCUGUGGGCUAGUCUGGGGCAACCUGGGCAUUUGGUCUACGGGUGUAAUCAGCUGACCAUGAUGGUUCUGUGCGGUGUGUCGGAGACGGCGGCUUUUGGUGUAAGCAUGCGUGCAUUGUUUGCUGGUUUGUUCGGGUUUGGUUGCUAUGUUGCUUGCUCUGCAGGCCUGGCGAUAGCCUGGAUAUUCUGGUGAGCUGUUGCGUGUGUGACACUUUCCAGGGCCAACAGUCUAUGGUGUAGUGUAGA